UAUAAAUUAAAAUAACUAAAAACUGCACUAUGUAUUGGAUAUUUGAAUUAUUGUUGCUCUUGUUAACAAAUAGCCCAUUCUAAUAAUUAAUAAAAAUGGUUCUAUUAUGCUAGCCCAAAUCCAUACUAUUAAUUAAAGUAACUCUAGUACAUUUUUCAAAUAUUUGUUUCAAAUCAUCAGAGGCAUCAGCGCCACUUUUCUCUCUCUUUUAGUGGUUCCCAAACUUUUGGUCUUCUACUCUUCUCAUUCUAAUUUUCCUUCCAUACUAAAACAAGACAUAUGAAGAAAAACCAUUGAAGAGAAGUGAACAGCAAAAUAUUAACCAUUGAAUGCACAACAAAGAUUCAAAGAGUGUUCAAAGAUUGAAGUGAGGACAAAACUCAAUAGAAUUAUUUUUUGGUGAGACUUGGAACAAAAAAAUAAUCAGCAACAACUGAACGAGCCUU